rnacentral:rRNA from 1 species
CCUACGGGCGGGCUGCAGUGGGGAAUAUUGGACAAUGGGCGAAAGCCUGAUCCAGCCAUGCCGCGUGUGUGAAGAAGGCCUUCGGGUUGUAAAGCACUUUCAGUGGGGAAGAAAGCCUUGGGGCUAAUACCCUCGAGGAAGGACAUCACCCACAGAAGAAGCACCGGCUAACUCCGUGCCAGCAGCCGCGGUAAUACGGAGGGUGCGAGCGUUAAUCGGAAUUACUGGGCGUAAAGCGCGCGUAGGCGGUCUGAUAAGCCGGUUGUGAAAGCCCCGGGCUCAACCUGGGAACGGCAUCCGGAACUGUCAGGCUAGAGUGCAGGAGAGGAAGGUAGAAUUCCCGGUGUAGCGGUGAAAUGCGUAGAGAUCGGGAGGAAUACCAGCGGCGAAGGCGGCCUUCUGGACUGACACUGACGCUGAGGUGCGAAAGCGUGGGUAGCAAACAGGAUUAGAUACCCUAGUAGUC